rnacentral:rRNA from 1 species
UACGGGGGGGGCAAGCGUUGUUCGGAAUUACUGGGCGUAAAGGGCUCGUAGGCGGCCAACUAAGUCGGACGUGAAAUCCCUCAGCUUAACUGGGGAACUGCGUCCGAUACUGGAUGGCUUGAGUUUGGGAGAGGGAUGCGGAAUUCCAGGUGUAGCGGUGAAAUGCGUAGAUAUCUGGAGGAACACCGGUGGCGAAGGCGGCAUCCUGGACCAACACUGACGCUGAGGAGCGAAAGCCAGGGGAGCAAACGGG